GACGAACGCUGGCGGCGUGCCUAAUACAUGCAAGUCGAGCGAAGUUUUUCUGGUGCUUGCACUAGAAAAACUUAGCGGCGAACGGGUGAGUAACACGUAAAGAACCUGCCUCAUAGACUGGGACAACUAUUGGAAACGAUAGCUAAUACCGGAUAACAGUAUUUCUCGCAUGAGAGAUAUUUAAAAGUUGGUUAUGCUAACACUAUGAGAUGGCUUUGCGGUGCAUUAGCUAGUUGGUGGGGUAAAGGCCCACCAAGGCGACGAUGCAUAGCCGACCUGAGAGGGUGAUCGGCCACACUGGGACUGAGACACGGCCCAGACUCCUACGGGAGGCAGCAGUAGGGAAUCUUCCGCAAUGGGCGAAAGCCUGACGGAGCAACGCCGCGUGAGUGAAGAAGGAUUUCGGUUCGUAAAGCUCUGUUGUUAGGGAAGAAUGGAUAUGUAGUAAACAUACAUGUAAGAGACGGUACCUAACCAGAAAGCCACGGCUAACUACGUG
rnacentral:rRNA from 1 species